UUUAUACAACGAAGAGUUUGAUCCUGGCUCAGGAUGAACGCUAGCGGCAGGCCUAACACAUGCAAGUCGAACGGUAACAGGGAUUGCUUGCAAUCCGCUGACGAGUGGCGCACGGGUGCGUAACGCGUAUGCAAUCUGCCUAUAACUGAGGAAUAGCCCAGAGAAAUUUGGAUUAAUACCUCAUAAUAUUGUUUUAUGGCAUCAUUUAACAAUUAAAACUUCGGUGGUUAUAGAUGAGCAUGCGUCCUAUUAGCUUGUUGGUAAGGUAACGGCUUACCAAGGCAACGAUAGGUAGGGGGCCUGAAAGGGUGAUCCCCCACACUGGUACUGAGACACGGACCAGACUCCUACGGGAGGCAGCAGUGAGGAAUAUUG
rnacentral:rRNA from 1 species